CAUAGUGUUUCUGCUUCAGCAGCUCCAUCUGCAGGAGGCUCUCAUCCUGGGCUGUGGUCUGCUCCAGUUCCUGCUGGAGGUUUUCAAACCUAGGGGAGAAAGGCAGCUGGGGCACAGGCCUGGUGGGGACCUGCCAUGUCAGCUUUUGAGCCCCCACCAGAUCUACUCAGCUAGACAAUCUAGCAUUGCCUUUCAGCUGAGUUCAUUCCCUGCUUCCCCAAGGGAAAAGGGUCAGAGAGCUACUGGGCAGGAUUUUUCCUCAACUUUUAAAAACUGCUAGAAGUUGAACUGGAAAAGACACACUGUGCUGGAUUAGAAAAAACAGCAUGUUUCUCCAACAGUCCAAAGACAUAAUUUUGGAGAAAUAUCAGUAUGACAAGGUCUGAGGCACAGGUCACGAGAGAUGCAACUGGCCUUGAUUAGAUACCAGGUGAAUGUGAACCUCCUGGAAAACUCUAUGCCUGCCCUCUAGUGGAGCCUACACAGCAAUGCAGAGAAGGCUCUGAUGAUUCCUACAGCCCAGACCCCUGCAUGGGAUUAACUUGUCAACUCCUACUCUGUUUAGGACCAGAGUAAAUCUUCUCAUGAGAAACUGAUAAACAGUGAAGAGAGCCAGCAAUCAGCAGUAGGCUGUUGUAUGCAAAUCUGCCAAAGUGUAGACACUUAUCUCUAAACAUAACGUUCAUGAUGGAAUAUUAAAUUGCAGGAGGACACACUUUCCUUCACGAUUGAUGAUCGCCCUCUAGGUUUCUGGCUGUCAUGUGAAUAUUUGUGAGGAGAUCUAAUCUAAGAGAUGAGAUACUCAGAGGAUACUAGAGGUCUCAGAAGGGAAGAAGAGGACACAAUCCCAAUAAGACCAAGGAGAAAACAUAUUACUUCCAGGACAGAAGUUCCUGUUGACUGAGCCAGUAACGAAACUCUGAGGUGUUCUUUCCCUGGCUGUGGCUGGGAGCUUUGCCAGUUGAAAAGAAACUCAAAGAGGACAGAGAUCCAGAUACAGCAGACCCACUUGGAUCCACCUGCUACUGGAAUCCUGGGUUCCUACCUCAUCUGGGACACAGUGAAAUGAUGCUGCAGCUUUACUGCCAAGUCCAUUUGCUGGGGAGAGGAGUGUCUCAGGUGUCUGCUGGUUUCUUCUCCUUUUCAAAUGCUUCAGGUUACCCAAGGGACAGCCUCCUCAACCUUACUCAGAGCUGCACAAGACAAAGCCUGGCUUCAGACUCCCCAGAUCUGGCCUCAGCAGCCAUGAGAAUGGUGGCACAGUUCACAUGACUUUUUUGAGACACAAGCUCUCCUGGAACUUGCACUGCAGUCAGUCUUCCAUUCUCCUCCUCAUUUCCCAAUUGGUUGAGAUCAUGGCAUGCAUCACUAUGCCCAGCUCCUUUUUUUCUAUUUCUAAAUGUUCGAACAUCCAGAAGCAACCAGAGUGAGGUCAAGAUCAUGAUGGGAAAAACACAGAGAUAGCCUACCCAAGCUGGAAACUCUUGGACUCUGGCAGAAACAAGCACAGGACCAAACUAGGUCCUCUGACUGUGGGUGACAGUCUGGGUGAUCACCUGCAUCUUCAAGUGACCAUGUUCAGGACUGACUGUGAACAUACCUAUCUGUCCUGAAGCAGACAGCUGGAAGAGGCAGCCUGCUGGUGGAAGACAUAGCCUACUAAGCCUUUUUCUCAGUACAGAAAAUAAAAAGGAAGCCAGAAGUUGGCUUUUUGUAUUACUUAUCAGUUCCUCUUUAUCUGUCUGCCUCUCAGGGAAGACUGUGUAAUUCUUUUUCCCUCAAAUUAAUGAGUUUAUUGAGGUUAUUACAGGAGUAUAGGUAUGGUAUUACUUAUAGGAAUAAGAAUAACUCUAAUGUGUGGCAUCAUAAAGGCUCACAUUAGAAUGGGUGACUCAUGAAGACUAGAACUCUGAAUGUGUCUGCAUGACUUGUUUGCAGCUGAAUGAGACAGAGGGUCUCAUUUCCUCAGUUCUCCUUAGUUACACCUAUUUAACCUUGGGAGCGGAAGGGCCUUGUUAAUCCUGUAAAUUUCAGCUUUCCCAGCCAUGGUUUAAUUGCUGAGUAUUAUGAACCUCCUCUCUCUUUCCACAGAACUUUCUGAGACUUAAGGAAAUAGUCCUACUCAGGGAAGAGCACACCAGUUGGAUACUCAAUAUUAAAUGAUCAGUCCUGAAAACAUAUAUGCUAGCUAUACAGAAUGAUUGGUUUACAUUUAGGAAUAUAUAACUAUAUGGAUACACACACACACACACACAUAUAUAUCUUCAUGCACAUAUAUAUGUAUAUGAUCAUAGCAACAAUUAAUGAAUAUAGAGGUCAUAAAUUAGAAACAGAGCAAGGAGGAGUGUAGUGAGGGUUUGGAAGGAUGAAAAAGAAGAGAAAAUAAUGUAAUUAUUGUCUCAAAAAUAAUAGAAAAGUAUUUCAUGUUAUACAAAGAAAAAUUGUUACACAACAUUUCACCCAUUCCUUAAAAUGUUAGUUUUUUGUAUAAGUUCACAUUCUCCCAUGGAGCUCUGCAAAGGCACUAAAGGCAAACACAAGUCCUGAAGUCCCUGGUGAAUCAACCAUUUUAUGUUUGACCUCUUCUGUAAGCACAGCACAGUGCUCUAUCAUGCCCAGUGAAUUGGCUGCAAAGCACUGCUUCUUUCAUAUAUAUUUUAUCAGGAAAACCCCAUCCUUCCUUCAUCAUCUUCCAGUGUGUGUGAGACCUCUGCUUGUGAUAACCAAGCAUCCCCAAUGCUUCCUGUGAGCCAGUCCAUCAGGAAAUAAUUUCUCUCAGAUUUCAUUGGAUUACAUAGCCUGUAUUUCAAGGAGAUUUUUGUAAGUGGCUCACCUAACUUUCCCACUUCUAUUGCACUCACAUUGAUCUCAUCUGUUCUCAUAGCCUACAAUCCCAUGAACCACGCUUUGACAGGAGGUUUCAUUGAUCUUUUGAAAGUCUUUUGUAUCAAGUAGUUGAGAGACAGAAUGCUCCCUGACUAAGACAGGCUCUUUUUGCAGGCCAUUUUAAGGCUAUCAAAUGCAAGUUCUAGCAUGGAUUUUCCUUUUCUCUGUAUAAAAGGUUGAAACUAAGUGGCAUCUUCUAUCACUUUUGUUUUAAACAGAGAAUUACAGUCUAAUUGUAUACAAGUGUAAUGAAUUUUGUCCUAAGGAAUUUUAAUAAAUACAGCAGUUUCAUAUA